GUCUGCUUGACAAACUAAAAGCAGUCUGGCCUGCCCCCUGAUUUUUUUUAAAGGCCGCGGUACCCUGACCGUGCGAAGGUAGCAUAAUAAUUAGUCUUUUAAUUGAAGACUGGAAUGAAAGGUCGGACAAAAAGCAAGCUGUCUCAGCUUUAACCAUUGAAAUUAACUUUUAAGUGAAAAGGCUUAAAUAAACUCAAAGGACGACAAGACCCUAUAAAACUUUAUACUUAAAGUUAUAAUCUCCUAUUUAUUUAUAUAAAGUUGCUUAUAACUUCAUGUAUUACGUUGGGGCGACGAAAGCAUAAGAAAUAACUGCUUUUUAAUAAACACAAUUAUAAUUGAACAUAAUGAUCCUUGCAUUUAGAUUUAAAGAAAAAGUUACUUUAGGGAUAACAGCGUUAUUUUUUUUUAGAGUCCAUAUCGACAAAAAAGUUUGCGACCUCGAUGUUGAAUUAAACUAACCCCACAGUGCAGCAGCUGUGAUGGUAGGUCUGUUCGACCUUUAAAAGUUUACAUGAUUUGAGUUCAAACCGGCGCGAG
rnacentral:rRNA from 1 species